UACGUAGGGGGCAAGCGUUGUCCGGAUUUAUUGGGCGUAAAGAGCGUGUAGGCGGCCAUGCAGGUCCGUUGUGAAAACUCGAGGCUCAACCUCGAGACGCCGAUGGAAACCGCAUGGCUAGAGUCCGGAAGAGGAGAGUGGAAUUCCCGGUGUAGCGGUGAAAUGCGCAGAUAUCGGGAAGAACACCCGUGGCGAAGGCGGCUCUCUGGGACGGUACUGACGCUGAGACGCGAAAGCGUGGGGAGCGAACAGG
rnacentral:rRNA from 1 species